AAUUAAAACUUUCAGCAACGGAUCUCUUGGUUCUGGCAUCGAUGAAGAACGCAGCGAAAUGCGAUAAGUAAUGUGAAUUGCAGAAUUCAGUGAAUCAUCGAAUCUUUGAACGCACAUUGCGCCCGCCAGUACUCUGGCGGGCAUGCCUGUCCG
rnacentral:rRNA from 1 species